rnacentral:rRNA from 1 species
UACGGAGGCCCCAAGCGUUGUUCGGAUUUAUUGGGCGUAAAGGGUGCGUAGGCGGCAUCGUAAGUCUGGUGUGAAAGGCGUGGGCUCAACCCGCGGACUGCAUUGGAUACUGCGAUGCUAGAGGACUGGAGAGGAGAAUGGAAUUCACGGUGGAGCAGUGAAAUGCGUAGAUAUCGUGAGGAAGGCCAGUGGCGAAGGCGAUUCUCUGGACAGUACCUGACGCUGAGGCACGAAGGCUGGGGGAGCGAACAGG